GACACAGGACUCCACUGGCCAGGGGGUUGCGGAAGAUCCUGAGGAAGAGACAGUCACGCUGAACCUCACACCCUGUGACCCAUCUGAACCAGAAAACAACUGGCAGGAGGCAGGGACGUCAGAGACAAGCACUGUGCAGGUGGAGGUGCUGAAGACCCCCCCGUGAAGCAGUGUACCACCAAAGAGGUAGGGCAGGAGGCAGGGACGUCAGAGAGCCAGGUGCCAGAGACAAGCACCGUGCAGGUGGAGGUGCUGAAGACCCCCCCGUGAAGCAGUGCACCAUCAUAGAGGUGGGGCAGGAGGAGCAGCCCCAGCGGGAUGAUGUGAGACAGGCUACCACCACGGAGGGGCCAGCUGUCAGGACAGGGUCCGUGAGGGACACAGUACUUGGUCCUAGACGCAAAAAGAAAAAGUCAGAUUGCUCCUACCACACUCGCCUAGAAACUUUCCCCAUCAGGAGUGUAAUAAGAGAAAGAAUGAGAAAGGGAAAAGCAGAAAUGUUGGUGGAGUGGGAGCCCUGUCCAGUAUGUGGCAAGGAGUGGGCUCAUUCCUGGCAGCCGAAGAAUUCUC